CUCCUCUUAGCUGUUGCCUGGAGCUUUCUGGAUAUUUCCUCUAAAUCUCUCAGUGAUGUGCCAGUGGCAACCAGAACAUGGUGCACGUGGCUCGCGGAAGUGCAGCUGGAUGGUGCUUACCAGUGUGGAUGUCAGGAAGCUGGAAUCCUGAACGCAGGGCACUGUUGCCUGAGAGGGUCAUCCACAUCUCGUCACCUACACCCUGGCAAGGAAGCUGGGCACCAGGACAGCCCAGCCCAGGUUGUGGACACGUGCUGUACUGUGGCCUCUCCAGACAGCCUUCUUGCACCGGGAUCUGAACACACUCAUGUUCACAGCAGCUCUUCUCACUGUGGCCGCAAGUGGAGAAGCCAGGUGUCCAGCAGUGGAGGAGUGGAUAAGCAAAACAUAUACCCACACAUGGAACAUUACUCAGCUCUAGAGAGCAGUGGUAUUGGCACAUCUUCCACAAGCUGGAUGGACCUUACAGGCUGCUCAGCAGGAGAAGCCUGCCACCGAGGACUACAUGUUCUGUGACUCCACUAGAGGACAUGUCUGGGAGGAGCCAAUCCAUAUAGAAAGACAAGUGGCUGCUAGGCACUGGGGGGAGUCGCCUUUUAUGUAAUGUCCUAAAAUACCAGGGCUAAUGACCCCUGCGUGUCUUGAUUCCUCACUGAGACACCUUUACAUGUUUAAAAAUGGCUUUGAGAUAUAAACCAUAUAACUCUGCUGUUUGGAAAA